rnacentral:rRNA from 1 species
UACGGAGGGUGCAAGCAUUAAUCGGAUUUAUUGGGCGUAAAGGGCGCGUAGGCUGAAUGGUAAGUCAGAUGUGAAAUUCCGAAGCUCAACUUCGGAGCUGCAUUUGAAACUGCCAAUCUAGAGGGUAGGCGGAGAAAACGGAAUUCCACGUGUAGCGGUGAAAUGCGUAGAUAUGUGGAAGAGCACCUGUGGCGAAAGCGGUUUUCUAGCUUACAACUGACGCUGAGGCGCGAAAGCAAGGGGAGCAAACAGG